GGAAGCAGUUCAGAGAAGAUUGAUCACGUUUUUUGCGGAACAUUAGAAACAUUACAAACAGGAAUCCUGCAGCCCAGGAAAUCUUUGGAUGAUCACUUCAAAUAGAGAAAAAGACAAGAACACCUUCUUGGUCUUGGUCCUUCUACAGGUGGGAAACGUCUCUCCCUAUCUACUCCAAUCCAGCCCAGUCAUGAUUUUGAAACCUCCCUCAGACUGCAUCUCAGCUGGAUAUCGUUGCUGUCACAGAGGGCAUAAUGGAGUUUAGCAAGACAGGAUAUCUGUUUCGCUUGGCCGCACACUCUCCUGUUUACUGCCUCGAUAAAGAUCAAGCAAUUGUACAUAGACAUUAACAGGAAUUUGUUCACUCAGCGUGGUGAAUCUUACAGAAAUCUCAACAUCAUACUCUGCAGGCCCAAUUUUUGAGCAUUUUCAACACAGGAUCCAUAGGUUCCUAGAAACGAAUGACUAAGUGAAAUGAGGAUAGUGUCGGAAAAUGGUCUUCAAAUGAUCGGUCGUGAUCCCGGAAUGAUGGGCCAGACUCGAUUCGCUGAAUAGUCUGAUCCUGUGUGAGCCUGUCACUGUCGCUGAGAGAGGCACUCUUUUCGAGUGAAAGAUUGUUGUGUUGUCAGUGCCUGACACAGAUCAGACUUUCAAUGAA